rnacentral:rRNA from 1 species
GGGUUGUGAGGUUAAGCGACUAAGCGUACACGGUGGAUGCCCUGGCAGUCAGAGGCGAUGAAGGACGUGCUAAUCUGCGAUAAGCGUCGGUAAGGUGAUAUGAACCGUUAUAACCGGCGAUUUCCGAAUGGGGAAACCCAGUGUGAUUCGUCACACUAUCAUUAACUGAAUCCAUAGGUUAAUGAGGCGAACCGGGGGAACUGAAACAUCUAAGUACCCCGAGGAAAAGAAAUCAACCGAGAUUCCCCCAGUAGCGGCGAGCGAACGGGGAGCAGCCCAGAGCCUGAAUCAGUGUGUGUGUUAGUGGAAGCGUCUGGAAAGGCGUGCGAUACAGGGUGACAGCCCCGUACACAAAAAUGCACAUGCUGUGAGCUCGAUGAGUAGGGCGGGACACGUGGUAUCCUGUCUGAAUAUGGGGGGACCAUCCUCCAAGGCUAAAUACUCCUGACUGACCGAUAGUGAACCAGUACCGUGAGGGAAAGGCGAAAAGAACCCCGGCGAGGGGAGUGAAAAAGAACCUGAAACCGUGUACGUACAAGCAGUGGGAGCACGCUUAGGCGUGUGACUGCGUACCUUUUGUAUAAUGGGUCAGCGACUUAUAUUCUGUAGCAAGGUUAACCGAAUAGGGGAGCCGAAGGGAAACCGAGUCUUAACUGGGCGUUAAGUUGCAGGGUAUAGACCCGAAACCCGGUGAUCUAGCCAUGGGCAGGUUGAAGGUUGGGUAACACUAACUGGAGGACCGAACCGACUAAUGUUGAAAAAUUAGCGGAUGACUUGUGGCUGGGGGUGAAAGGCCAAUCAAACCGGGAGAUAGCUGGUUCUCCCCGAAAGCUAUUUAGGUAGCGCCUCGUGAAUUCAUCUCCGGGGGUAGAGCACUGUUUCGGCAAGGGGGUCAUCCCGACUUACCAACCCGAUGCAAACUGCGAAUACCGGAGAAUGUUAUCACGGGAGACACACGGCGGGUGCUAACGUCCGUCGUGAAGAGGGAAACAACCCAGACCGCCAGCUAAGGUCCCAAAGUCAUGGUUAAGUGGGAAACGAUGUGGGAAGGCCCAGACAGCCAGGAUGUUGGCUUAGAAGCAGCCAUCAUUUAAAGAAAGCGUAAUAGCUCACUGGUCGAGUCGGCCUGCGCGGAAGAUGUAACGGGGCUAAACCAUGCACCGAAGCUGCGGCAGCGACGCUGAUGCGUUGUUGGGUAGGGGAGCGUUCUGUAAGCCUGCGAAGGUGUGCUGUGAGGCAUGCUGGAGGUAUCAGAAGUGCGAAUGCUGACAUAAGUAACGAUAAAGCGGGUGAAAAGCCCGCUCGCCGGAAGACCAAGGGUUCCUGUCCAACGUUAAUCGGGGCAGGGUGAGUCGACCCCUAAGGCGAGGCCGAAAGGCGUAGUCGAUGGGAAACAGGUUAAUAUUCCUGUACUUGGUGUUACUGCGAAGGGGGGACGGAGAAGGCUAUGUUGGCCGGGCGACGGUUGUCCCGGUUUAAGCGUGUAGGCUGGUUUUCCAGGCAAAUCCGGAAAAUCAAGGCUGAGGCGUGAUGACGAGGCACUACGGUGCUGAAGCAACAAAUGCCCUGCUUCCAGGAAAAGCCUCUAAGCAUCAGGUAACAUCAAAUCGUACCCCAAACCGACACAGGUGGUCAGGUAGAGAAUACCAAGGCGCUUGAGAGAACUCGGGUGAAGGAACUAGGCAAAAUGGUGCCGUAACUUCGGGAGAAGG